rnacentral:rRNA from 14 species
GAUCGCUUGGUUCGAGCGACGAUGAGUCGGAAUGCAGCAGAGCAGCGAGAAUCGAGAAUCGAGAAUCGAGAAUCGAGAAUCAGUCGAGAGUGA